UGUGCCAGCAUUACUCUGAAAAAGAGAGAAAGAAAGAAAGAAGGAAGGAAGGAAGGAAGGAAAGGAAGAAAGAAGGGAAGAUUGAAAUGAUUCGCCUAAUGAAAAGUUUACUGGUGGGCACUCUGGGGUAGAGCAGAGUCUGGCCAUUGUGGUGUGAAUGGUUUGUCUCUUUUCUCCUGGCUUGCCCCUCACAGCUCUGACUUGGACUGUAAUGCUCUGGAAUUGACCGUGGAUUGCAGAACAUGGAUAGGGGGCCUGCUGUCCUCCCCGCUCCCCUUGGAGGAGUCUGGGAGCCGUACUGGGAGUUCCCCGUCAGGGCUGGGGGUGAGGCAGGCUGAAGACUUGGCUGAGAAGGGAGACCAAAGGGCCAGUCACCAUGGAUGGGGUGGCAGGGGUUUGGAAGCAGGACGGAGCCAGGCGUCUGGGCUGCAGUCCCUGAGCAGGGACCCCUGCUGGGCUCUGGGCCAGCCUGGGGGCGGGGAGGGGAGGAUGGGGCUCCUGCAGCAUCCUCCUGCUGUCUACACCGCUUCCCCCUGGGCAAAUUCAGUCUCCAGAAGCUGCAGCAGGUGAGGGCCGGGCCCCCUGAACUGGGAGUAACUUCCCAAUGCUCAGAAAGUUUUCCUGGAGGAAACAACUUGUCCGGGAAAGGAUGAGAAUUAGCCUCUGGUCCUCUUGGGUUGGUCUGCUGGCUGGGUGCCUCCUCUGAAGUCAAUACAGGUACAGAGGGAAAGGACACAGGCGAGGGGCAAUUCUCACGUGGACAGGUGGCUUUCCUUCAGAUAGGCACCACUCUUAGCAACUUGUCAUCGCUGAGUGGGCAGACAUAUGGAAGGCAAAGUGCUGCGCAAGUCGUAAGGGACUCUGGUGACCCAUUUCUGAGGCUGGUGGCAGUGUUUCCUCCCUCGAAAGGAGCGGGCACAGCAAGGACCCUCUCGGGCCUUGGGACGGGGACCCUGACCUCAGGCCCUGGGCUGUCACAUGACAGCCAAUGAUUCCACGACUCACAGCCUUUGUGAUUUCCGCCCAUUUUCAUGUUAUUACCCUUGUGUCCUUUCAAAGAAGGCACAUUUUUCAGAAAGAGAAAAACAAACUACUGGCUAUUUACUUGAUUUAACAUUUUUAUACAUGAAAACUGAAUUUACGUACGAACGAGAAUGGUUUGGAUAAAGAGAAACACCAAUUUUUCUUAGGGGCUGGGCCUGAGGGCAAUUUUAGCCUUGGAUUCUUAUUUUAUUCUCAUGUUGUUUUUUCAAUAAAAUAACAUUAUGAAAAAUGAAAAUUUGUUUUUAAGGUGUUUUAUUUCCACAGUUUCCCUGGAUGGAGAAACAGUUUUCACCGGGUAGGGCCAUCAGAAAGAAGAAGCCUACAUUCUCGCUUGGACUAAAUGGUAUCUUUUGAAAGUUUACCAGGGAGAAGAGCCAUUUCAAAAUGACUUAUUGUUUUUGGUGGGUAGGUCCACGUUUCGGCUCAUCUGUGACCCUCAUUUCCAGGGCAGUGGCUUCCUUCAGAAAAGAGCAGCCUUUAGCAGUGAACAAAAUGGAUUACAGAUCCCCUGACACUUCUGAGUUCCUGGCAGCUGGGGUGAACUCUUGCGAGGAAGAUGAAGUUGAUGAAGUUUCGGGAAUGUCUGCGGGGCUCUGCCUGGCUCAGGGAAAGUGGCUCGCACAGUCUGGAGUCCUGUGUGCACUUGGAGCCUCGAUGAAACGGAAGCAUCCAGCGCUCCCGCAGAUGUUCUGGUAACGGCAUGGACCUGAUCUUAAAAUCAUAGCCACAUCUUUAUUUAUUAGAAAGGCAGGGGAGAUUUAUUAUCUCCUCCAAAUAACACGGCCACGGCUAUUUUCGGUCAAGUGGACCACGACCUGGGCAAAGGCAAAUCAGGAUUUACCCAGGCUGUAAUCAGUGUUUGAACUGGUUGAGGUGACCAUGUUUUCUCAGAUGUGGACAGUGUGUGCGUGUGUGCGUGUGUGUGUGUGUGUGUGUGUGUGUUUGCAUAUGUUUGCAGGGGACACAGCCUAUGGAUUCCUCUUAUAAGGACCUUUUAUUUACUCUUAGAAAUGAGGAUAAACGCAUAUGGCUUAAAAACAUUUAAAAGUAUCGGGGUGAUAAAUAAUGAUUGUAUUAGUUUGCUAGGACUGCCGUUAACAAAAUGUCACAGACUGGGCGGCUUAAGCAAGAGAAAUGUAUUUUCUCACAGUUCUGGAGGCUGGAGGCCCAAGAUCAAGGUGUGGGCAGAUUGUUUUCUCCUGAGACCUCUCUGCUUGUGCUGUAGACAGGUGUCUUCUACCUGUGUCCUCACAUGGUCUGUGUGUGUCUGUGCUCUAAUCUCUUCAUCUUAUAAGGAUACCAGUCCUAUUGGAUUAGGGCCCACCCUAGUGACCUCGUUUUACCUAAGUUACCAUUUUAUAGAUCCUAUCUCCAAAUAUAGUCUCAUUCUGAGGUACUAGGAGCUAGGAUUUCAACGUACGGAUUUGGGGGGCCACAGUUUGGCCCAUAAUAAUGGUUUUAAGUUUAUACAGCAGAACAAUGGACUCGAGCAUCCAGCACGGGCCUGGCCCAGAUUAGAUGCCACUCUGUGUUGUUUCCAUUGUUUUUCACAGCUGUCCCUCCCUCUACAGCUGGGGAUAAACUCUCAACAUGGGACCAGCCUGGAUGGAUGGCAGGCCCUGCAGAGUUUUGGGGUUUAUCCCCUCCUGCCUCUGGGUUCCUCCUAGAGAUGACUCCACAGAUGUUUGGAAAGACUCUCAUGGAAUUAUUGCCUUUUCCCCGUUCAGCAGAGUCUGUGUCAUGGGUCGCCUUCUGAGGAUGGAUUUUUAUGGGCCUUUAGAGCCCUCUGCCUAUUUUUGACACUUCCACAAGGUGAGAAGGGACCAGGUGUCAUGUCGAUCAGAUGGAGAAGACUCUGGAAGGGGAGCCCCGUGGCUGCCCGAGGCUGAGUCAGUCUUAGGCAGAGCCCGGAACACAGCCCAGGUCUCCUGAUUCCUUCCCCGUCCCUUCCCAGAGCCCCGAAACCCACCCUUCUGAGAAUACAUUGGUCCCGCCUUUGUGGUGCCUGGUAAGUAGGGCGGCCUUUGGGGCGUGUGGGUGAGGAAUGUUGCUCCGAAUUCAGCCAAGAGCCCUGUUCUCCAGGCUCCAUCCUGUUCCUUUCUGCUCCCCACCUGCCCCCUCCCACUGAUUCUUGGCAUCUAAUGACAGCCUUCCUCUGUGUCUGUCUGUCUGCUAACUGGUUAUCUGUCUGACUCAGGGCCUCAGCGCAGCUGGGAAAUCUGUGCAUUGCAAAACUGGCCCCCCUGCCCCUGACGGCCCUGGAUGUGGAUGUAUCGUCUGUCGGACUAGAAGCUCCCUGAACGCAGGGAUGAUUUCCAAUCCAGCUUUUGGCCAUUGUGAAAAUCAAGUCAGAUGCCUCAGUUCAGCUCGAUAAACUUGCUUCCAACACUGAAUCUGUUCCAGCCACCCGCUAAGCUGAGGAAACUGAAGCUCAGGAAAGUUGGGUAACUUUCCCAGAUCACCACGACAGCACGUGUUAGGACCAGAGUUUGAAGCUGGGUCUCCCUGACGCCAAGGUUCACACUCUUCCCACUUUGCUGUGUGCCCCUGCACAGCACCAGCCGUGUCUCAUGGCUUUCCUGCUGUCUCAUCUAACACCCAGCACACGGUCGGGUGAUGCCAGGAGGUAGGAACAGGAAGGUGGGAGCUGCAGGCAGGAGUGGCAAGCUGUCCUGCAAGAGGCUGGGAAGGUAAGCAAGGAGGAGGAGCCCUGCGGCUGGAGGCGUGGCCGGUGGGCGAGACCGUGGUCGAUGGGCGGGGCUUACUGGAGCCCCUCCCUCAACGCUUGGCUCCUCCCGGAGGGCCGGAGGGCCGCAGCGCCUCUCUGGAGUGGCAGGUGCUCUGUCCCAAGGGGAACCUGCGACAUGCCAGAGAGCAGACGACCUGUUUCUCCCACUGAGCAGAAAGAGCUGGCGCAGGUGGUGUCCAAUGUGUGUUCCUCUUUGCCUCUGACGUCUGGAAGGGGAAUUCAGCAGAAAGGACUCCAGUCUGGACCUCUAACCCCAACUUCCUCAAUCCAAGCUCUAGAGAGGCACCUGUGUAGCCGAGCCCCGGGGUCCUGUGGGACCCGCACCCUCUCUUUCUUUCCCUCCUCUGCACCACCGCCCCACAGUCCCACUGUGCCCUCUGUGCCUGCCCCAGCGCUGCAUCCCUGCACCGACCUGGGCUGACCAUCACCUUUCAUCACCCUACAUCAGGCGUGUAAUCACGCCUCUCCCCUCGGCCAGGAGCUCCUGGGGGCAGAGACCGCUUCUGUUUUAUGACCCUGCAGAGUGAGGCAUUAGGUGUUAGGGAAUGAACGCGAGUGUGUGUGAAGCCCCUUUCCUCCCCUGAGCCCCGCUUUGGGUGGAGACCCCUCCCUCCAGCAGCCUGAUCCCUGCAUGACUGUGACCAGGCUGGCUGCACAGCACUCAGUGUGCCCAUCCGGGCAGGACCACAUCCCACUUCCUACCUGGGGGCCCGGGCUGCUUCUGGCCUCUUAGGCCCUGGAUGGUGGGGUGCCCGCACCUGAGGUGUGCUUCCCGGGUCCUGGUGUCCUCGGCGUUCCCAUCCCCAUGAUGAGUGAGGCCUUAGGUGGAGGGAGAAGCCAAACUUGGCUAAUGAAAUACUCUUUCCUACAGAUGCCAUCGGCACUGGCUUCUGAGCCCUGGGGUGGCCCUGGCCACAGUAUCUCUAGGUUCCUGCCUGGGGCACCUGCUCCCUCCCCUGGGAACAAGGCCUGUGGUCACUGGCGGAAUCUGUGCUGGGGCAGUGCUUCGUCCCAGUAUCUCAGGGUUGUGGACAGCAGCCUCGUGGACUCCUGGAAGAGGAAAGGAGCUUGGAACAUUCCCGCUUCCCCUUCGCACGGAUGCCACUCCCUCAUGUCCCUCUGGUGGUGGAGAGUCAGUCCCGGGGCCGGGAAGCCUGCCUGGCUGGCUCAGCCCCCUCGGGGUCAGGCAGUGCUGCCUUCCAGCUGCUCUCAGGUCUAUCUUGAGUGCCCUUGUCCUGCCCCCAACCCCCAGAGGUGGCCCCGAGGCAGGUCAGAGGCUGGUGUGGGUCUGAGGCCUUUGUUAAGCUGCAGAUGAGUUCCCAGGCUGCUCUGCCCCGGGGCCGGGUUCCCUGCGGGACUCUGACCACAGGUCCCCCCCUUGCUUCCUGUCUCUGGCCACUGUGCCUUCUCUCUGUGUGGCCUUUCUGGCCAAGCCCUGCUGAGCAGGGAAGGACUUAGAGGUUAAGCGAAGGGAGAAAGCUGGUGGCUCUGACGCCUCUGGGCUCUGGGACCUCUUGUGCCCGAGGAGGGUGAGUAUCGGUGGAUCCAUUUGGUGUCAGAAACAGCGGGCGGCUCUGGGUCCCCUUUUCUGGAGGUGGUAGGCCCUCCCCUGGGUCCCUCCCUCCCAUGGUGCCCCGGCCUUGGUGUUACCCAUGCUUCCCGCCAGGGUGUCCUCAUCCCAGAGGGCGAUGUGAUAAGGGGGUUCCUAGGCCCUGGGGUUGGGAGGGGUCUCAGGACCGCGUGGGCUUCAAUGAGCCCUUAGUGUCCGCAGAGGAGCAGCUCUGACACCUGAGCUCUAUCCGCAUUCGCCAGCGAGGCUCUGGGUCCUGGUUUCUGCAUCCGGCUGCAUGCAGGAUGCACUGACAUUGUCUGUUCACCGGUCUGCAUGUCCUCAAGAGGAGGGUCUGCAUGUCUGCAAGAGGAGGGUCUGCAUGUCCUCAAGAGGAGGGUCUGCAUCUUGGAACACUGUGCCCAGCACAUAGUGCAGUGUCAAAUGUACGGGACCCUUGGGAAGCGUGCGUCCCUCCCUCUGGCUGCAGUCCACCAGCCGCCACUGGCAGGUGGCUGGGCCUGUGUUGCUCUCUGCCUGCUCGAAGGGCCUGCGAGUUGCCUGACUGCCUCCCCACAGCCUACUCCCAGACCCUCUCCUGCCCGCCGUGGCUUUCAGAUCCUGAAGGGCUGUCCCAGCUCCUCGCUGGUACACAAAGGCACUGCAGUUUCCAGACGAAUCCUUGGACCUGGAGACUCCAACCACCGCAGUCUGCCUCACUUACCCCUCUGGGAGUUUCUCUGCCUCGGACCCUUCUCUCCACUUGCACAGCUCUGGCGAACCCCUCCUCUUCUCUGCUCGAGGGGCAAGGCCUCACCCCCACCUCAGUGGCCCCAGGGCAGCUUUGCAGGGUCAGCACAUUCUCCUCUGCGGGUUGGGCCCCUGGCUCCAGGCCUCGUGAUCUGGAGACACCAGCUUCACAGCUACCAAAUACCUGCAACCUUGUCCUUGAGAGGAGGCCUUAAGGCUUUUCACUUUUGCCCCAGAGUAACCUCAAGGGUGUAGGGUGGUGGGAACCACUCCUCAGGAUCAGAGUGUGGUCUGAUGUGGUCACUGAAGGCUUCUCCCAGGGAGCUUCUGGAAGAAUUUCUGAUACUCACAUUGUCACAGGACAAAGUAAACCAUAAUUGUUUCAUACCAUAUAGUUGUAACUUCCGGCACUGUUAUAUUCCAUCUUAUGAAAAAUAUUUGACGGUGCCUCCAGGGGAAGACUUGGGCCAUGCUUGGGGGUGGGGUGAUGAGUGCCUCAUCAGGACAUUCGUACCCUGACCUUCCCAGUUCCCUGGACCCUGAGACUUAAUUAAAGUCACAGCUAUUUUUUUUUUAAGUCUUCUUUGUUGAGAAGUUGCUGAGCUUUGCUGAGCGUGGACGAUUGAUUCAGGAGUUCAAUCAUUUAUUCAUUAAAUAAGUAAAACUUCUUGAGUGCCUACUAUGUGCCAGGCGCCACGCUAGAUCAACGGUGGAGACACAGCCCUCGUUCACGAAAUUGUUGGUUUGUCGGUUUGAAUUCAGUUCUGCCAUUUACUGUGUCGAUGAAUCUUUCUGAGCUUCAGCUUUUAUCUCUCAGGUGAAGAUGGGGAUUUCUGUCUCACUGAGUUUGCCUGGCAUCUAGGAGCUACAUGCAAUAAAUAGAUUGUUUCUUUUUCUUAA